AACCCUGAUGCAGCAACGCCGCGUGAGGUAUGAAGGCCUUUGGGUUGUAAGCCUCUGUCCUAGGGGAAGAAAAAAAUGACGGUACCCGAGGAGGAAGCCCCGGCUAACUACGUGCCAGCAGCCGCGGUAAUACGUAGGGGGCAAGCGUUAUCCGGAAUUAUUGGGCGUAAAGAGUGCGUAGGUGGUCUACUAAGCGCGAGGUGAAAGGCAAUGGCUCAACCAUUGUUAGCCUUGCGAACUGGCAGACUUGAGUGCAAGAGAGGAAAGCGGAAUUCCUAGUGUAGCGGUGAAAUGCGCAGAUAUUAGGAGGAACACCGGCGGCGAAGGCGGCUUUCUGGAUUGUAACUGACACUGAGGCACGAAAGCGUGGGUAGCAAACAGGAUUAGAUACCCUGGUAGUCCACGCCGUAAACGAUGAGCACUAGGUGUCGGGACAUGAGUCUCGGUGCCGCAGUUAACGCAAUAAGUGCUCCGCCUGGGGAGUACGCACGCAAGUGUAAAACUCAAAGGAAUUGACGGGGACCGC
rnacentral:rRNA from 1 species